CUGCCGCAGUUUCCAUUCCUUUCUACAUCUAUUGAUCUUCCUUUUUGUUUCUUUCUUUUGUUUAACCUUUUUGUUGUUUCUGUUUCCUCCUUGUCAUCUUUCUAAUCCAAGGGUUCCAAUCUUAUUCUUGCUCUAAUCAUCCCAGUCAUUUCCCCAUCCAUCUUUAUCAGAACUUGUGGAAUUAUGUCCAUUGGUUGCAACAUUUUCUGUUAGAUGUUCAUCCGGUGAUUUCACUUCCUGUUGCUCAACCCAGUCAUCANNNNNNNNCGACUGCCAUUUCCACAUCAUUAGCCAAGUGGGAUUCCGGUUGCCCCAUUUCUAGUUCUUGAUACCGGACUCCACCAUCAUGCCAUUCAUUUUUCCCAAUCUUACAACAAACCCAUACCGUUCCAACAAUCAGAAAUGUAAAAAACAAUAGGUAGGCCCCAUAGAUGGGGGAUAAAUGGGUGGCUAACUGCUUAUAAAAUCCACUACUUUGUUUCUUUGAUCCAAUGGGAAUUGUACAUUUCCCAAUUCCAGAUUUUAUUAUUAUAGAUGGACUUCCUUCAAUGUUUGCCAUGAUUUUGAUCUUUUUGGCUUUGUGUUUAGGUACUUGUAUCUCUGGGAUAGCAAUCUCAAUAUCUACGAUUGUAAUAUUCACUUUCAGUGGAUCCUCACCAUCAUUCUGGACAACAAGAAACGAAUCCGUGGAAGCAGAAAUAUUGAGGCAAGCAAUUAUGUGAUUCAGGCUAUGACAGCUUCCUGUAAAGGAAUUUGAACACCUCUCAUCAGUUAAUGCCACAACUGGUGCAGUUCCACCAUAACCAU
rnacentral:misc_RNA from 1 species